GACGAACGCUGGCGGCGUGCUUAACACAUGCAAGUCGAACGAAGUGGCGAACGGGUGAGUAACGCGUAAUCAACCUGCCCUUCAGAGGGGGACAACAGUUGGAAACGACUGCUAAUACCGCAUACUCAAGGAAGGGAUUGCGUCUGAUUCGCUAGUUGGAGGGGUAACGGACAACCCAGGCGAUGAUCAGUAGCCGGGCUGAGAGGAUGAACGGCCACAUUGGGAAGGAGACACGGCCCAGACUCCGACGGGAGGCAGCAGGGGGGAAUCUUCCGAAAUGGACGAAAGUCUGACGGAGCAACGCCGCGUGAGUGAUGACGGCCUUCGGGUUGUAAAGCUCUGUUAAUCGGGACGCGGUACCGGAAUAGAAAGCCACGGCUAACUACGUGCCAGCCGCCGCGGUAAUUC
rnacentral:rRNA from 1 species